rfam:Astyanax mexicanus chromosome 7, whole genome shotgun sequence.
GUGGGCUAUGGGGACAUGUACCCCGUGACCAUUGGGGGCAAAAUAGUAGGUUCCUUGUGCGCCAUUGCUGGCGUGCUGACCAUUGCGCUCCCAGUGCCCGUGAUUGUGUCUAAC